UACACUCCUACGGAGGCAGCAGUGGGGAAUUUUGGACAAUGGGCGAAAGCCUGAUCCAGCAAUGCCGCGUGUGUGAAGAAGGCCUUCGGGUUGUAAAGCACUUUUGUCCGGAAAGAAAUCCUUGGCUCUAAUACAGUCGGGGGAUGACGGUACCGGAAGAAUAAGCACCGGCUAACUACGUGCCAGCAGCCGCGGUAAUACGUAGGGUGCGAGCGUUAAUCGGAAUUACUGGGCGUAAAGCGUGCGCAGGCGGUUUGCUAAGACCGAUGUGAAAUCCCCGGGCUCAACCUGGGAACUGCAUUGGUGACUGGCAGGCUAGAGUAUGGCAGAGGGGGGUAGAAUUCCACGUGUAGCAGUGAAAUGCGUAGAGAUGUGGAGGAAUACCGAUGGCGAAGGCAGCCCCCUGGGCCAAUACUGACGCUCAUGCACGAAAGCGUGGGGAGCAAACAGGAUUAGAAACCCGUGUAGUCCCA
rnacentral:rRNA from 1 species